GCAAGUCGAACGAGAAACUCCGGGCUUGCUCGGAGAAGUACAGUGGCGCACGGGUGAGUAACGCGUGGGUAACCUACCCUUGAAUCUGGGAUAACCCCGCGAAAGCGGGACUAAUACCGGAUAUGGUUCUAUAAGCCUCGGCUUUUGGAAUUAAAGGUGACCUCUUCAUGAAAGUUGCCGUUUGGGGACGGGCUCGCGUACCAUUAGCUUGUUGGUAGGGUAAUGGCCUACCAAGGCUACGAUGGUUAGCUGGUCUGAGAGGAUGAUC
rnacentral:rRNA from 1 species